GGCGGUGAGGGUGGCCGCAAAUGCCAAGGGCAAGAGCAUUUCCGGGAGCGCGCUCAGGGGCAGCCCGGCUGACACCCCCAGGCCCACCAAGAGCGCGGUCAGCACCAGGGCCUGGAAGCCUGAACCGCAGCACAUGGUGCCUCAGGGCUUGGCCCCUUAAAGCUCCUACACAGCUUCUUCUUCUCCUACCUUUGAAGACCAUGGCAUCAAACCACACCCCUUCUUGUUGCCAUCCCACUGUCCUCUUUGCCAUGCCUCUCAGUUGGGGAUCACUCACCUUGAGCAUCCACAAGGAUGAAGCUUAGGACAUUCCUGAUUGUUUGCUGACCUCCUUAAUCCAUCAAUUCCUGCCUCUGUCUCAUCCAUGCCACCCUCUCCUUGCCCUCACUAAGAACUGCCUCCUCUAAAACCUCAAAGCUUCCCUGGUGGUCCAGUGGUUAAGAAUUUGCCUGCCAAUGCAAGGGACACAGGUUCAAUCCCUGGUCUGGGAAGAUCUCACAUCCUGAGGAGCAACUAAGCUGGAGUGCUACAACUUCUGAGUGCACGAGCCGCCAGUUACAGAAGCCUGUGUGCCCUAGAGCUGGUGCUCCCCAGCAAGAGAAACCGCCUCAAUGAAAAGUCUGUGCACUGAAAUGGAUAGUAGUCCCUGCUGGCCACAACUAGACGAAGCUCUUGCAUGGCAACAAAGACCCAGAGCAGCCAAAAAUAAAUAUAUUUUUUAAUUUAAAAACAUUAAAAAAAUAAAAUCAAACUUCAGCUUCAA